UGAAGGAGUUCACUAGCUUUGGCAGUUCGUUUUUGGCUGUGGUGUGAGCGGGUUGAAGAAAAUGUCAACCAGGGUUAACGUAAACUGGUGCUUCUUUUUGGUUAAAGGUGUUGCUGGCUAGGCCUGUAUCUGUUGUCUACCUCUGAAUGGCUAGUGGACAGUUAAGUCAAUCACAUUGCUGUGGAUCUGGAGUCCCGUAGAGGCCAGACAAGCUCAGAAUUACAGACUGCGCAACUGGAGCACUGAAGAACACACGAGCACCACCUGCUGGAAUGUCAUGCAGUUAUUUGCUGUUUUGAUAGAUAAAUGGAAAAAGAUGAAUUUCAGACCGUUUGAACUCCUCAUAAUUUUCUUCCUAGUUGCAAAGUGGUCUAGUCAAAUGAAGACUGCAGUUAUGGAAAAAUGAUAUGGUUAGUGUAUUGCACAAUUACCAACAAUACAUAAAUUAAAAUUGCCUACAAAUAGCUGCAAACAUUCAUUUUUGUAACAACAAGGGAACAACUGUCUGCUUAACUUACUUUUGACCUGUUUGCUCUUUGUCAUAUGCUUCAGAAGUAUGUACUUUUGGAAUGAUGUACUCAAUAUUGUUCUCAAUCUUUGUAAAUUAAACAUACUUUGAGCUGGA